GAUGUCUUCCGGAGAUGAGGAAAGACGGUGUGCGACGGCUCGCACGAGGCGUGUACCGCGUGCAUCUGAAUGUGCAGACACGAGGCGGUCGAGGGCUCAACAAGGUUCGAUUUUGGUCAAGAUUGUGUUCACAAUCAUCUUCUAAUCCAAUCUAAUGGCCGUUGCUAUGAAGACUAAUGGGAGGAUCAUCAAAACAACAAUGUAACCAAAUUGGUUGCUUCAAAACUUUGUUCGGUAUCAUUUUUUCACAAAUGAAGAAAUUGGAGUAAUUACGGCCUUGCCGCUCUUCAUGUUGUGAGAGAACCUAAUCAAUAGCAUGCUGACAUGCAUCAGGAAGCCAACGGACAGCCAGAUCAGGAAGGCGUGGAGCUUGAGCUGCAGCGAUGAUGACAACUGGGGCGUCAGCUGCAAAAACAACAGCUCAAGUGUUCAACCAAGUGUAAGUUUGCAGUAAGUCAAUAGUUACAGUUCUACAAUGACACAGUCAGACUUGCAUCGAAAGUUAGAUAGGAACAUGGAAAGAAUCUCUGAAACUUAUUUACAGGAGAGGGAAAACUUCACACCUAUUUGAUCUUCAGUGGUUGAACGCUCUUGUAGCUUUGGUUGAGAUCCUAAAGCUAUAUGAAGCACCAUGGAUUGAGUUUGCAAGCAAAAGGAUCACACAACCUGACAGUACUGGUAGCAGUCUUUUUCUUCCAAACUGUAGCAUUGAUGCCUAUCAAUUUGCAGUUAAUUUUGAUCAGGACCCAAAUUCUUGAUUGAACUUUUGGUCUGUUUAAAAUACCAAUAUACAAUAUUCAGGUCCAAAGGUAAGUAGCAACCUAUUUGAGCAACUUGGAAACACAUCCGAAUCUGGAGUAGUAGAAAUUCCUAAGUGUAUUGGGACAUUGACAUGCAGGUACUGAGUUGUGUGCUGUUUUUCAACUCAAUGCUGCUCCUAAUGGUUUUGUGACUGUUGAAAGGCAGUAUACACCUCAUAGCCAGCUUUAGCAGUUCUGUUGGGCUAACAAAGGAAAGAGCAGCGCUACAUAAUGAUACAAAGAGGACACUAAAGGAGGUUUUGCAAGUGCUUUCGAUUUAAUUAUGCAUCUUCUUGAAUCCAAGUGCUAGAACAUUUGUCUUUACCUGGAGGUAUGGUUUGCUUCCAGCAGCAGUUUUUUAAUGCAUUGUUCAAGUGUCAUGAACCUUGAACUAAAUAUUUUAUUGAUUAUACUGUCAUCUAUUUUGAGCUGUGAUCAUGCCUUCUACUUCUAUUUUACCUCCUAUAUUUUCAUCAUUGAGGUGUACUGAGUAUUAAUGAAGAAUCUGUCUUCGGCUGAAAGUCAUAAACUAUCCUUUUGUUGUUACUUAUUUAUCGGUGUUUUUGUCUCCACGAAUGAUAUUAUCAUGUCUUUGCAAUUGUAGCCUUGAUGCACUCUAUCGAUCUCAGUGGAUGAGCAUACACAUGUUUCCAAGUGUCCAUUCUAUGAGAUUUCAUUGUUUGUCAUCUACCCUGGGGGUGGACCGUAGGCAUCAUUGUGUUCCGGAUCAGAUAUGUGAAUGAAUUAUGAUUUUUUAUUUGUAAGAUGGAUAUUUGUGCUUAAGUACUAAUCAUAUAGAUAUAUUCUUGCCUUCUGUACAUGGAAAGGAAACUAGAACUUUAAGGUUCCU